UUCUCAGCCCAGGGUGUUAGCCACAAGACAAAUGAUCCUCUUGAAGGCCUCUGAGGAAAAUACCGUCUGUGGAUGCUUCACUCAGUUGAACGACUAUACCAUGCAGGAGAAACGCUAUCUGAG
rnacentral:lncRNA from 1 species